GACGAACGCUGGCGGCGUGCCUAAUACAUGCAAGUCGAACGAGAGCGACCGGUGCUUGCACUGGUCAAUCUAGUGGCGAACGGGUGAGUAACACGUGGGUAACCUGCCCAUCAGAGGGGGAUAACAUCCGGAAACGGAUGCUAAAACCGCAUAGGUCUUCGAGCCGCAUGGCUUGAAGAGGAAAAGAGGCGCAAGCUUCUGCUGAUGGAUGGACCCGCGGUGCAUUAGCUAGUUGGUGAGGUAACGGCUCACCAAGGCCGUGAUGCAUAGCCGACCUGAGAGGGUGAUCGGCCACAUUGGGACUGAGACACGGCCCAAACUCCUACGGGAGGCAGCAGUAGGGAAUCUUCCGCAAUGGACGCAAGUCUGACGGAGCAACGCCGCGUGAGUGAAGAAGGUUUUCGGAUCGUAAAACUCUGUUGUUAGAGAAGAACAAGUGCUAGUGUAACUGUUAGCGCCUUGACGGUAUCUAACCAGAAAGCCACGGCUAACUACGUG
rnacentral:rRNA from 1 species